rnacentral:rRNA from 1 species
AUGAACGCUAGCUACAGGCUUAACACAUGCAAGUCGAGGGGCAUCAGGAAGAAAGCUUGCUUUCUUUGCUGGCGACCGGCGCACGGGUGAGUAACACGUAUCCAACCUGCCCUUUACUCGGGGAUAGCCUUUCGAAAGAAAGAUUAAUACCCGAUAGCAUAAUGAUUCCGCAUGGUUUCAUUAUUAAAGGAUUCCGGUAAAGGAUGGGGAUGCGUUCCAUUAGGUUGUUGGUGAGGUAACGGCUCACCAAGCCUUCGAUGGAUAGGGGUUCUGAGAGGAAGGUCCCCCACAUUGGAACUGAGACACGGUCCAAACUCCUACGGGAGGCAGCAGUGAGGAAUAUUGGUCAAUGGGCGGUAGCCUGAACCAGCCAAGUAGCGUGAAGGAUGAAGGCUCUAUGGGUCGUAAACUUCUUUUAUAUAAGAAUAAAGUGCAGUAUGUAUACUGUUUUGUAUGUAUUAUAUGAAUAAGGAUCGGCUAACUCCGUGCCAGCAGCCGCGGUAAUACGGAGGAUCCGAGCGUUAUCCGGAUUUAUUGGGUUUAAAGGGAGCGUAGGUGGACUGGUAAGUCAGUUGUGAAAGUUUGCGGCUCAACCGUAAAAUUGCAGUUGAUACUGUCAGUCUUGAGUACAGUAGAGGUGGGCGGAAUUCGUGGUGUAGCGGUGAAAUGCCUAGAUAUCACGAAGAACUCCGAUUGCGAAGGCAGCUCACUGGACUGCAACUGACACUGAUGCUCGAAAGUGUGGGUAUCAAACAGGAUUAGAUACCCUGGUAGUCCACACAGUAAACGAUGAAUACUCGCUGUUUGCGAUAUACAGUAAGCGGCCAAGCGAAAGCAUUAAGUAUUCCACCUGGGGAGUACGCCGGCAACGGUGAAACUCAAAGGAAUUGACGGGGGCCCGCACAAGCGGAGGAACAUGUGGUUUAAUUCGAUGAUACGCGAGGAACCUUACCCGGGCUUAAAUUGCAGUGGAAUGAUGUGGAAACAUGUCAGUGAGCAAUCACCGCUGUGAAGGUGCUGCAUGGUUGUCGUCAGCUCGUGCCGUGAGGUGUCGGCUUAAGUGCCAUAACGAGCGCAACCCUUAUCUUCAGUUACUAACAGGUCAUGCUGAGGACUCUGGAGAGACUGCCGUCGUAAGAUGUGAGGAAGGUGGGGAUGACGUCAAAUCAGCACGGCCCUUACGUCCGGGGCUACACACGUGUUACAAUGGGGGGUACAGAAGGCAGCUAGCGGGUGACCGUAUGCUAAUCCCAAAAUCCUCUCUCAGUUCGGAUCGAAGUCUGCAACCCGACUUCGUGAAGCUGGAUUCGCUAGUAAUCGCGCAUCAGCCACGGCGCGGUGAAUACGUUCCCGGGCCUUGUACACACCGCCCGUCAAGCCAUGGGAGCCGGGGGUACCUGAAGUACGUAACCGCAAGGAUCGUCCUAGGGUAAAACUGGUGACUGGGGCU